rnacentral:rRNA from 4 species
UAACGACUCUCGGCAACGGAUAUCUCGGCUCUCGCAUCGAUGAAGAACGUAGCGAAAUGCGAUACUUGGUGUGAAUUGCAGAAUCCCGUGAACCAUCGAGUCUUUGAACGCAAGUUGCGCCCGACGCCUCCUGGCCGAGGGCACGUCUGCCUGGGCGUCACGC